UACAGAGGUCUCCAGCGUUGUUCGGAUUCAUUGGGCGUAAAGGGUGUGUAGGUGGCGCGCUAAGUCGGGUGUGAAAUUUCGGAGCUUAACUCCGAAACUGCAUUCGAUACUGGCGUGCUUGAGGACUGGAGAGGAGACUGGAAUUCAUGGUGUAGCAGUGAAAUGCGUAGAGAUCAUGAGGAAGACCAGUGGCGAAGGCGGGUCUCUGGACAGUUCCUGACGCUGAGGCACGAAGGCCAGGGGAGCAAACGGG
rnacentral:rRNA from 1 species